rnacentral:rRNA from 1 species
GCUGGAAUUGCUGUAAUGGCAGGUCAGCAUACUGCCGUGAAUACGUUCCCGGGCCCUUGUACACACCGCCCGUCACCACCAUGAGAGUUGGGAAUACCCGAAGCCUGUGAGCUAACUGUAAGGAGGCAGCAGUCGAAGGUAGAAUCAAUGAUUGGGGUGAAGUCGUAACAAGGUACC